rnacentral:rRNA from 1 species
UACGUAGGUGGCAAGCGUUAUCCGGAUUUACUGGGUGUAAAGGGAGCGUAGACGGUGAAGUAAGUCUGGAGUGAAAGGCGGGGGCCCGACCCCCGGACUGCUCUGGAAACUAUUUGACUGGAGUGCAGGAGAGGUAAGCGGAAUUCCUAGUGUAGCGGUGAAAUGCGUAGAUAUUAGGAGGAACACCAGUGGCGAAGGCGGCCUGCUGGACGGUGACUGACGCUGAGGCGCGAAAGCGUGGGGAGCAAACAGG